rnacentral:rRNA from 1 species
AUGGAGGAUGGCACGCAAGUGGCUGUCAAACUGCGGUCUGAAUCUUCAGAUCAAGGUGAACAAGAAUUCUUGGCAGAGGCACAAACCUUGGCUAAAAUUCAUCACAAGAAUCUUGUAUCCUUGUUUGGCUACUGCAAGCACAGGGAAUACAUGGCUCUUGUCUACGAGUACAUGGCUCAAGGAGCUCUAGACGAACAUCUUAAUGGGAAAGACAACAACCAAAGUAUUUUAACCUGGAGACAGAGACUUCGUAUUGCCCUGGAAUCUGCGCAAGGGCUUGAGUAUCUACACAAGGGAUGCAAUCCGCCCCUCAUUCACAGGGAUGUGAAAACGUCCAACAUCCUGUUAAAUGCAAACCUGGAGGCUAAAAUUGCUGAUUUUGGCCUGCUCAAGGCUUUCAAUAGCAACAGUGAUACACAUGUCUCCAGUGCAAGGGUGGCUGGUACACUUGGUUACCUUGACCCUGAGGCAACGACACUCUUGAAGGAUCCUGAGCCAACAAGUAUUGUUCAGUGGGUGCGGCAGCGCCUCGCAUGUGGAAACAUCGAGGGUGUGGUGGACGCGCGCAUGCAUGGCGAUCACAACGUCAAUAAUGUGUGGAAAAUUGCAGACACUGCGCUCAAGUGCACUGCUCACAACCCUAUGCAGCGGCCCACGAUGACUGAGGUGGUAGCAGUGCUGCAAGACUGCCUUGAGAUCGAGGUUGCACACAACGAUGUGAACGCAGGGAUUUACUUGGCACGGCUAUGGUCGGUACGACAUUGA